rnacentral:lncRNA from 1 species
CACGACAUUGCAUGCAAUCCUUCAUGCAUGAUGGGUUGCUUUCAUUGCAACCCAACUAGGCUCACGAUGGAUCCCAACACAAAGCGUGGAGGCCAGGGCCCGGAGGGGCUAGUUAAUUGCGAUAAAAAUGAAGAAAUACACCACUAAACCAGUUGUUCCUACAGAUCUUAGAUCAGUAAGCCAUUCACACCCACCACCUGCUUACAUAACACACAACCAUCACUAAACAGUGAAGAAAUGGCCAAGCUUGCCGCCCUCUAGUGACAUAACAUCAAAGCAGAGAUGGAUCCCACACCCUGCUGGCUGGCUGAAGAAUGAAGACUACUCUGUCAGGGGAAUAUCUGCUCAGUUAGUAAUCAAGCAGUUGGUGUUGUCUGUAGGAGUGAAUAUGGUCACUUUCUAGAUGCAAGAGCGCUGGUUUUCCAUGGGCUGACGUGCUUUCUAGAUGCAACUUUCAAGUUACUCCUCAGUCCUCAAAAUUAACGCUAGGAGUUGAUGAAGGUACAACUCAGUUCAUUAUCACCAAAGAAUGCCCGGCUCAAGUACUUUAGCAGGAAUAAGGUAAAAGGCAUUUAAAAAAAAUGGAGCUGUAGAAGGGUAAGAUAACAGAGGAAAACAGAACAGUGGACAAUGAGAUUACCUCCAAAAUUCAAGGACUGAAGGCUUCUGAUGAACGGUGUUGAAGAGUUCUGGUGCUCUACUUAUACCAGCCCUAGGUUAUCCACAUGCCAAAUAGAUGUGCAGCCACCUUAGUAGAUUGAUGGCAUGGCAUUCAGCAUUUGAACAUCUAGAAGCCAAUUUGUAUGUAGAUCCUACAGUGAAUGAAUGUUUCUUCACUAAAUGAACAGAAAUGUAUCCUUAAGAAGUUUGAAAUAAGAAUUAUGUCAUAAACUCAUAAUAGCAUCUUUGCAGUAUUUCUCCGAUAAAAAAAAACACAACCUGACCUUAGAAGAUUAGUUUUUUCCCCCUCGAAAUAAAGUGGAUCGAUAGUCCUUAGUUUCAGUAUUAUCAACAGAAAUUAUCUUGAACCUGAGUUUCUCAAGAGGCCACGAUUAGAGACAUGAAAAUUGAGGUAGUGUACUUGCCCAGAUGGUUGACAUGAUCCUCCCAAGAAUCUUAGCUCUGUUAAGAUUACCUGCACCAUUCGAGAAUUAGCCAAACAAAAGGAUUAGGACUUGAUGGCAAACAAUUAAUUGAAACUGCAUCCACAUUCCAAAAGCGACCAAAUAGCAAUAAGAAAUCAAAUCCCCACUCACCAACUGCAAGACUCGUGAUCCCUGACCAUCAAUUGAGGAACUCAAAGCACCUGGAUUUUCCGGUGCGCACGAAGUUCACGUCGACCACCUCGCCGUACUCUCUGGAACUCAUCUCGUCAACCAGAUCUCCCUGCCGCACCGCUUCCUUGCUGCGGGAGUCGCUAGCGGAGAGUUGGUGCUACGGGCUGGGCGCGACGGGAUUUGCAGUCGUGGAAGGAACGGAGGUGAGGAAGGGGGUUGUUUGGAAACAACUAGUUAGUUACUU